UCCGGCAUGGUCUAGUGGCUAGGAUACCUGGCUCUCCCCCAGGAGGCCCGGGUUCGAUUCCCGGUGUCGGAA